UCCACGCCCUAAACGAUGAACACUAGUCGUCGGGAUGCUAGUCAUCUCGGUGAUGCACUUAACAGAUUAAGUGUUCCGCCUGGGGAGUACGGUCGCAAGAUUAAAACUCAAAGGAAUAGACGGGGACCCGCACAAGUGGUGGAGCAUGUUGGGUUAAGUCCCACAACGAGCGCAACCCUCGUCCUUAGUUGCCAGCAGGUUAAGCUGGGCACUUUAAGGAGACUGCCUUCGUAAGGAGGAGGAAGGUGAGGACGACGUCAAGUCAUCAUGGCCCUUAUGGCUAGGGCUACACACGUGCUACAAUGGGGCG
rnacentral:rRNA from 1 species